rnacentral:tRNA from 1 species
UCUAAUGUGGCAGAAUAGUGCGAUGGAUUUAAGCCCCAUAUAUAAAGACAUCUUUUUUUAGAA